UACGUAGGCAGCGAGCGUUGUUCGGAGUUACUGGGCGUAAAGAGUGCGUAGGCGGUUUUCUAAGUUUGGUGUGAAAUCUCCCGGCUUACUGGGAGGUGCGCCGAAGACUGGAAGGCUUGAGUAUGGGAGAGGUAAGCGGAAUUCCUGGUGUAGCGGUGAAAUGCGUAGAUAUCAGGAGGAACACCUGCGGUGUAGACGGCUUUACUGGACCAUAACUGACGCGAGGCACGAAGCGUGGGUAGCAAACAG
rnacentral:rRNA from 1 species